AAAACUUUCAACAACGGAUCUCUUGGUUCUGGCAUCGAUGAAGAACGCAGCGAAAUGCGAUAAGUAAUGUGAAUUGCAGAAUUCAGUGAAUCAUCGAAUCUUUGAACGCACAUUGCGCCCGCCAGCACUCUGGCGGGCAUGCCUGUUCGAGCGUCAUUU
rnacentral:rRNA from 2 species